AUUGAACGCUGGCGGCAGGCCUAACACAUGCAAGUCGAGCGAGCGGCGGACGGGUGAGUAAUGUAUGGGGACUGCCCGAUAGAGGGGGAUAACUACUGGAAACGGUGGCUAAUACCGCAUACUAUCGGAUAACCCAUAUGGGAUUAGCUAGUAGGUGGGGUAAAGGCUCACCUAGGCGACGAUCCCUAGCUGGUCUGAGAGGAUGAUCAGCCACACUGGAACGGAGACACGGCCAAGACUCCUACGGAGGCAGCAGUGGGGAAUAUUGCACAAUGGGCGCAAGCCUGAUGCAGCCAUGCCGCGUGUGUGAAGAAGGCCUUAGGGGUGUAAAGUACUUUCAGCGGGGAGGCGUUACCCGAAGAAGAAGCACCGGCUAACUCCGUGCCAGCAGCCGCGGUAAUUC
rnacentral:rRNA from 1 species